UACGGGGGGGGUAAGCGUUGUUCGGAAUUACUGGGCGUAAAGGGCUCGUAGGCGGCCAACUAAGUCAUACGUGAAAUCCCUCAGCUUAACUGGGGAACUGCGUGUGAUACUGGAUGGCUUGGAUUUGGGAGAGGGAUGCGGAAUUCCAGGUGUAGCGGUGAAAUGCGUAGAUAUCUGGAGGAACACCGGUGGCGAAGGCGGCCUUCUGGGACUCAACUGACGCUGAAGCGCGAAAGCAUGGGGAGCGAACGGG
rnacentral:rRNA from 1 species